UCAAAACACCGGUUCCCAUACAAUCACCAAAGUUAAGCAAUAUCGAGUCUAGUCAGUACAUAGAUGGGUGACUGCUUGGGAAUACCAAGUGUUGUAA